UACUAUCGGCUACGAAAACUUAAAUUGC
rnacentral:sRNA from 1 species